rnacentral:rRNA from 1 species
UACGUAGGGGGCAAGCGUUGUCCGGAUUUAUUGGGCGUAAAGAGCGUGUAGGCGGCCAGGUAGGUCUGCUGUGAAAACUCGAGGCUCAACCUCGAGAUGUCGGUGGAAACCGUCUGGCUAGAGUCCGGAAGAGGAGAGUGGAAUUCCCGGUGUAGCGGUGAAAUGCGCAGAUAUCGGGAAGAACACCCGUGGCGAAGGCGGCUCUCUGGGACGGUACUGACGCUGAGACGCGAAAGCGUGGGGAGCGAACAGG